rnacentral:rRNA from 1 species
UACGUAGGCAGCGAGCGUUGUUCGGAAUUACUGGGCGUAAAGAGUGCGUAGGCGGUGCUCUAAGUCUGUUGUGAAAUCUCCCGGCUCAACUGGGAGGGUGCGGCGGAAACUAGAGUGCUAGAGUAUGGGAGAGGUAAGGCGGAAUUCCUGGUGUAGCGGUGAAAUGCGUAGAUAUCAGGAGGAACACCUGUGGUGUAGGCAGCUUACUGGACCAUGACUGACGCUGAGGCACGAAAGCGUGGGUAGCGAACAGG